rnacentral:rRNA from 1 species
GACGAACGCUGGCGGCGUGCUUAACACAUGCAAGUCGAACGGAAAGGCCCUGCUUGCAGGGUACUCGCGUGGCCAACGGGUGAGUAACACGUGGGUGAUCUGCCCUGCACUUCGGGUUAAGUUUGGGAAACUGGGUCUAAUUCCGGCUAGGAGACAUAUUUAGUGUGGUGGUUGGAAAGUUUUUUCGGUGUAGGAUGAGCUCGCGGCCUAUCAGCUUGUUGGUGGGGUAAUGGCCUAACAAGGCGGCGACGGGUAGCCGGCCUGCGAGGGUGUACGGCCACAUUAGGACUGUGAUACGGCCCAGACUCCUACGGGAGGCAGCAGGGGGGAAUAUUGCACAGUGGGCGCAAGCCUGAGGCAGCGACGCCGCGUGGGGGAUGAAGGCCGUCGGGUUGUAAGCUCCUUUCGCUAGGGACGAAGCUUUUUUGUGACGGUACCUAGAUAGAAAGCACCGGCUAACUACGUG